rnacentral:piRNA from 1 species
UGUACUCGCACCUGGUGGACUACUUCCCCGU